rnacentral:rRNA from 1 species
GAGUUUGAUCCUGGCUCAGAUUGAACGCUGGCGGCAUGCCUUACACAUGCAAGUCGAACGGCAGCACGGGAGCUUGCUCCUGGUGGCGAGUGGCGAACGGGUGAGUAAUGCAUCGGAACGUAUCCUGGAGUGGGGGAUAACGUAGCGAAAGUUACGCUAAUACCGCAUAUUCUGUGAGCAGGAAAGCGGGGGACCUUCGGGCCUCGCGCUCCUGGAGCGGCCGAUGUCGGAUUAGCUAGUUGGUGAGGUAAAGGCUCACCAAGGCGACGAUCCGUAGCAGGUCUGAGAGGAUGAUCUGCCACACUGGAACUGAGACACGGUCCAGACUCCUACGGGAGGCAGCAGUGGGAAUUUUGGACAAUGGGGGCAACCCUGAUCCAGCCAUGCCGCGUGAGUGAAGAAGGCCUCGG